rnacentral:tRNA from 1 species
CUUAGCUCAGCUGGGAGAGCAUCUGCCUUACAAGCAGAGGGUCGGCGGUUCGAUCCCGUCAGCNCCC